rnacentral:rRNA from 1 species
CCUACGGGAAGCAGCAGUGAGGAAUAUUGGACAAUGGGCGCAAGCCUGAUCCAGCCAUGCCGCGUGCAGGAUGAAGCAUCUAUGGUGUGUAAACUGCUUUUAUACAGGAAGAAACCUCCCGACGUGUCGGGAAUUGACGGUACUGUAAGAAUAAGGAUCGGCUAACUCCGUGCCAGCAGCCGCGGUAAUACGGAGGAUCCAAGCGUUAUCCGGAAUCAUUGGGUUUAAAGGGUCCGUAGGCGGGCCAGUAAGUCAGUGGUGAAAUCUCUCCGCUCAACGGGGAAAUGGCCAUUGAUACUGCUGGUCUUGAAUUAUUAGGAAGUAACUAGAAUAUGUAGUGUAGCGGUGAAAUGCUUAGAGAUUACAUGGAAUACCAAUUGCGAAGGCAGGUUACUACUAAUGGAUUGACGCUGAUGGACGAAAGCGUGGGUAGCGAACAGGAUUAGAUACCCUGGUAGUCCACGCCGUAAACGAUGGAUACUAGCUGUUGGGGGCAACUUCAGUGGCUAAGCGAAAGUGAUAAGUAUCCACCUGGGGAGUACGUUCGCGAAGAAUUGAAACUUAAAGGAAUUGAGG